rnacentral:rRNA from 1 species
CGGGGGGCAGCAGUGGGGAAUAUUGGACAAUGGGCGAAAGCCUGAUCCAGCAAUCCCGAGUGAGUGAUGAAGGCCUUAGGGUUGUAAAGCUCUUUUCAGCAGGGAAGAUAAUGACGGUACCUGACCAAGAAAGCCCCGGCUAACUCCGUGCCAGCAGCCGCGGUAAGACGGAGGGGGCUAGCGUUGUUCGGAAUUACUGGGCGUAAAGAGUGCGUAGGCGGUUUAGUAAGUUGGAAGUGAAAUCCCGAGGCUUAACCUCGGAACUGCUUUCAAAACUAUUAAUCUAGAGUGUAGUAGGGGAUGAUGGAAUUCCUAGUGUAGAGGUGAAAUUCUUAGAUAUUAGGAGGAACACCGGUGGCGAAGGCGGUCAUCUGGGCUACAACUGACGCUGAUGCACGAAAGCGUGGGGAGCAAACAGGAUUAGAUACCCCAGU